GAAGGCAGCAGGCGCGCAAAUUACCCAAUCCCGAUACGGGGAGGUAGUGACAAUAAAUACUGAUACGGGGCUCUUUUGGGUCUCGUAAUUGGAAUGAGAACAAUUUAAAUCCCUUAACGAGGAACAAUUGGAGGGCAAGUCUGGUGCCAGCAGCCGCGGUAAUUCCAGCUCCAAUAGCGUAUAUUAAAGUUGUUGCAGUUAAAAAGCUCGUAGUUGAACCUUGGCUCUGGCUGGCCGGUCCGCCUCACCGCGAGUACUGGUCCGGCUGGAGCUUUCCUUCUGGGGAACCUCAUGGCCUUCACUGGCUGUGGGGGGAACCAGGACUUUUACUGUGAAAAAAUUAGAGUGUUCAAAGCAGGCCUUUGCUCGAAUACAUUAGCAUGGAAUAAUAGAAUAGGACGUGCGGUUCUAUUUUGUUGGUUUCUAGGACCGCCGUAAUGAUUAAUAGGGAUAGUCGGGGGCGUCAGUAUUCAGCUGUCAGAGGUGAAAUUCUUGGAUUUGCUGAAGACUAACUACUGCGAAAGCAUUCGCCAAGGAUGUUUUCAUUAAUCAGGGAACGAAAGUUAGGGGAUCGAAGACGAUCAGAUACCGUCGUAGUCUUAACCAUAAACUAUGCCGACUAGGGAUCGGACGGGAUUCUAUUAUGACCCGUUCGGCACCUUGCGAGAAAUCAAAGUUUUUGGGUUCUGGGGGGAGUAUGGUCGCAAGGCUGAAACUUAAAGAAAUUGACGGAAGGGCACCACAAGGCGUGGAG
rnacentral:rRNA from 1 species